CCCUUGGAUGUUCUGGGCUGCACGCGUGCUACAAUGGCGCUUGCAACAAGUCUUGCCAACCCGAUAGGGUGAGCGGAUCUUUGAAGAGGCGUCGUGAUCGGGACAGUUGAUUGCAAUUAUUCGACUCGAACGAGGAAUUCCUUGUAAUCGCGAUUCAUCAUAUCGCGCUGAAUACGUCCCUGCCCUUUGUACACACCGCCCGUCGCUCCUACCGAUUGAGCGAUCCGGUGAAUGUUUUGGACUGGCGUCAGAAGCGGUUCGCUCCUGACACUACGAAAUUUUGUAAACCUUAUCGCUUAGAGGAAGGAAAAGUCGUAACA
rnacentral:rRNA from 1 species